GCCCAAGAGAUCGGGAUAACACCUGGAAACAGAUGCUAAUACCGGAUAACAACAGAUGAUGCCUAUCAACUGUUUAAAAGAUGGUUCUGCUAUCACUCUUGGAUGGACCUGCGGUGCAUUAGCUAGUUGGUAGGGUAACGGCCUACCAAGGCGAUGAUGCAUAGCCGAGUUGAGAGACUGAUCGGCCACAUUGGGACUGAGACACGGCCCAAACUACUACGGGAGGCAGCAGUG
rnacentral:rRNA from 1 species